rnacentral:rRNA from 1 species
CGCGUAGGCGGUCGGGUAAGUCGAGUGUGAAAUUCCGGGGCUCAACCCCGCGAACUGCAUUCGAUACUGCUCGACUAGAGAAAGGUAGGGGCGAGUGGAAUUCCCGGUGUAGCGGUGGAAUGCGUAGAUAUCGGGAAGAACACCGGUGGCGAAGGCGGCUCGCUGGGCCUUUUCUGACGCUGAAGCGCGAAAGCGUGGGGAGCAAACAGGAUUAGAUACCCUGGUAGUCC